AUUGAACGCUGGCGGCAGGCCUAACACAUGCAAGUCGAACGGUAACAGGAAGCAGCUUGCUGCUUUGCUGACGAGUGGCGGACGGGUGAGUAAUGUCUGGGAAACUGCCCGAUGGAGGGGGAUAACUACUGGAAACGGUAGCUAAUACCGCAUAACGUCGCAAGACCAAAGAGGGGGACCUUAGGGCCUCUUGCCAUCGGAUGUGCCCAGAUGGGAUUAGCUAGUAGGUGGGGUAACGGCUCACCUAGGCGACGAUCCCUAGCUGGUCUGAGAGGAUGACCAGCCACACUGGAACUGAGACACGGUCCAGACUCCUACGGGAGGCAGCAGUGGGGAAUAUUGCACAAUGGGCGCAAGCCUGAUGCAGCCAUGCCGCGUGUAUGAAGAAGGCCUUCGGGUUGUAAAGUACUUUCAGCGGGGAGGAAGGGAGUAAAGUUAAGACCUUUGCUCAUUGACGUUACCCGCAGAAGAAGCACCGGCUAACUCCGU
rnacentral:rRNA from 1 species